CAUGGCCUCUUGCAACCCACAAAUAAGAGGUCCAACCUGCCCAGUGACAAUAAGUUUAACGGCCGCGGUAUUUUAACCGUGCUAAGGUAGCGUAAUCACUUGUCUUUUAAAUGAAGACCCGUAUGAAAGGUGUCACGAGGGCCCACCUGUCUCCUACUUCAAGUCUAUGAAAUUGAUCUGCCCGUGCAGAAGCGGGCAUACCCACAUAAGACGAGAAGACCCUGUGGAGCUUAAGGCCAUUGACCAAUCAUGCCUAGUAAUCUACCCACCAAACCACAAAAAGAUCAAACAAGCCUAAUGAUAAUGGUUUAAUACCUUCGGUUGGGGCGACCAUGGGGGAUAAAAAAGCCCCCAAGAAGAAACAGGGGAUCAACUCCACCAAUCCCUAAGAGUCAAGAGCUACAACUCUAAACAACAGAAAUAUCUGACUAAUAAUGACCCAGACACCAUGUCUGAUCAACGGACCAAGUUACCCCAGGGAUAACAGCGCAAUCCUUUCCAAGAGUCCAUAUCGCCGAAAGGGUUUACGACCUCGAUGUUGGAUCAGGACAUCCUAGUGGCGAAAAUUCUACCAAGGGUUCGUUUGUUCAACGAUUAAAGUCCUACGUGAU
rnacentral:rRNA from 1 species